UUCCUCCGCUUAUUGAUAUGCUUAAGUUCAGCGGGUAUCCCUACCUGAUCCGAGGUCAACCAUAGAAAAUUUGGGUUUUGGCAGAAGCACACCGAGAACCUGUAACGAGAGAUAUUACUACGUUCAGGACCCAGCGGCGCCGCCACUGAUUUUAGAGCCUGCCAUUACUGACAUAGACUCAAUACCAAGCUAAGCUUGAGGGUUGAAAUGACGCUCGAACAGGCAUGCCCCCCGGAAUACCAAGGGGCGCAAUGUGCGUUCAAAGAUUCGAUGAUUCACUGAAUUCUGCAAUUCACAUUACUUAUCGCAUUUCGCUGCGUUCUUCAUCGAUGCCAGAACCAAGAGAUCCGUUGUUGAAAGUUUUAACUAUUAUAUAGUACUCAGACGACAUUAAUAAAAAGAGUUUUGGUUUUCUCUGGCGAGCAUACAAGGCCCGAAGGCAGCUCGCCAAAGCAACAAAGUAAUAAUACACAAGGGUGGGAGGUCUACCCUUUCGGGCAUGAACUCUGUAAUGAUCCUUCCGCAGGUUCACCUACGGAA
rnacentral:misc_RNA from 1 species